GUGUGUGUGUGUGUGUGUGCCCUCCCUCCCUUCCUCCCUCGCACCACCACCACCAGUACCACCACUACCACCACCGUCACCACCACCGCCUUCUUCUCAACUAUAAACCCUCUGUACAAUCCUCCUCCUUUUUGACGCUUGACAAUGAAAAUGGUCCAUGAGGAAUGUGUAGGCAAUGUUUGUGGCCCACUGGCGUGUGUUGUGAACAACUCGAUGGCUGACUGUUCCUCAAAAUUUGUUAUUUACGUUUAACACAUGAAUGUUGUAUCACCUGUUGAGCUUUAAUUAUUUCGCCGCCGCUACUACUACUACUACUACUACUACUACAACUACUAGG